AUUGAACGCUGGCGGCAGGCCUAACACAUGCAAGUCGAACGGUAACGGGAAACAGCUUGCUGUUUCGCUGACGAGUGGCGGACGGGUGAGUAAUGUCUGGGAAACUGCCUGAUGGAGGGGGAUAACUACUGGAAACGGUAGCUAAUACCGCAUAACGUCGCAAGACCAAAGAGGGGGACCCUCGGGCCUCUUGCCAUCGGAUGUGCCCAGAUGGGAUUAGCUUGUUGGUGGGGUAACGGCUCACCAAGGCGACGAUCCCUAGCUGGUCUGAGAGGAUGACCAGCCACACUGGAACUGAGACACGGUCCAGACUCCCGCGGGAGGCAGCAGUGGGGAAUAUUGCACAAUGGGCGCAAGCCUGAUGCAGCCAUGCCGCGUGUAUGAAGAAGGCCUUCGGGUUGUAAAGUACUUUCAGCGGGGAGGAAGGGAGUAAAGUUAAUACCUUUGCUCAUUGACGUUACCCGCAGAAGAAGCACCGGCUAACUCCGUG
rnacentral:rRNA from 1 species